rnacentral:lncRNA from 1 species
GAUAAUAUUUAAGGUAGUAAAAAGUGUGUAUUGCAAAAAAAAAAAAGAGAGAAAAAGGAAAAAAAUGAAUGUUUUUAAUUUUUCUAUAUCUAGAACCCAAGUAAUUAAGUUCGAAGGGGUGUUUCAACACCUAGUUCCCUAAGGUCAAUUGGUCUGGGAGUCACUAGCCUAAAGGUCUCUACAUGGGUAAUAGAUAUAUUGUUUGCUUAUUAGAAACUCGAGUAAUUAAGUCUGUAAGGGUGUUUCAACACCUAGUGCCCUAAGGCCAUAGUCUGGGAGUCACUGGCCUAAAGCUCGCUACGUGGGUUAAAAUUUUAAUAUUUUUAACUUAUAUGUGUGAAUAAUCUACUACCUAAAGAUAGAAUUUCUAAUGAAUUUUGGAACAAAAAUGUUGUUUUUCUUUUAAUGAAGCCCCAUAAGUAUUGUGUUAAUUGCUUGAGCACAAAAGAAGGUUUGAUAAUAUUCUGGAUAAUGAGUGAAUACCAAAGAGGUAAAGAAAUCUGGGAGAGUUUAUUUAUUUGGUAGUUUAGAGGAUAGACGAACAAUUAUUAACUUGCAUGUGAAUUUUGUAAAUCUUAAUUUAAUAUAAUGUUUUAAUAUCUAGGGGCUAGCAAUAAGCUGGUUGGGGAUAUGAUUAGUAUUAAAAAUUGUUUAAUUAUUAAGCGAUAAUAAUGUUAUUUUGUGCUUAUGUCAUAAUUUAUAUUUGUGUUUAUGCAAUAUAUUAGGAAUUAUUAAUUAUGUAUUAAAUAUAUCUAAUUUUGUGUAUUUUUGUGUGUUUAUUAGGGAAAAUAUUAAUUUCAUGUAAUUCGAGGCUCUAAACAGAUAAACGGAUGUCAAAUUUGGAUUUCGGAGGUCCGAAAACCUUAAGAUGAGUCAAGAUCGCCUUAAAAUUGGGCUUGUGUAAAAAGAGUUGAGUUUUCUUGUUGACCGAGCACUGAUUGGAUAAUAAAAUGAGCUUACAAUAGAUAUGAGUGCAUGGGAUAGCUGGCAAUUUUGACUAAAUCUCAACCAUUCAUGAUUCAAUGGCCAUGAUUGUGCCACGUGGCAAUGGUUGGUGAAGCAAUUUGUAGGAUCCGAAUAUUUGUAUUUGGGUCGACCCGAUCCACCCCAUUAACCUGCUGAAUUUCAACCGUUCUUUGGCCAAAUCAGACGAGUCAAAUUAUGCCACGUGUGAUGUUGACUUUUAAAGUUUGACUAGCUGUUGUAUCUUGAUCUAAUGGUUGCUAGGAGCGCAUGCAUGAAACUUAUGAUAGACCGCAAAACAUUGGAUUUUGAAUUUAUUUUUCAAUAAAUUGAGCCUCAUUUUUAUGUUUUUAAUCAUCUCUCUACAUCUCGUUUCUUCUCAAUUUCUCUUAAUCUCCUUGUAAUCUUGUUUUCUAAGUGUGUUUUUAAUAUUUUGUAUAAUUAUUUUUACAAAUUAAUUUAGUUUUAUUUUCAAAUUUAGUUGUUUUUAUUACU